CAAAGUUAAACAAUUCUUCAAUCCAAGCUCACUUUUUCCUUUCCUAUGAAUAUUGUGCCAAGCAUGCACCAUCCUAGCCUUCAAUCCUUGAGUGUAUUUCCCAUCUUAGAAAAAUAAACCCUCUAACAAAGUGGUAUUAGAUUUGUCCUUCAUAGCGAACCCAAGUUGACGUCUUGCCAAAGUCGGAUUAUAGUUGAUUCCUCCUUGUGUACCAAGAAAAGGCACAUUAG
rnacentral:lncRNA from 1 species